UACGUAGGGGGGCAAGCGUUGUCCGGAAUCAUUGGGCGUAAAGCGCGCGUAGGCGGCCCGGUAAGUCCGCUGUAAAAGUCAAGGGCUCAACCCUUGAACGCCGGUGGAUACUGCCGGGCUAGAGUCCGGAAGAGGCGAGUGGAAUUCCUGGUGUAGCGGUGGAAUGCGCAGAUAUCAGGAGGAACACCAAUAGCGAAGGCAGCUCGCUGGGACGGUACUGACGCUGAGGCGCGAAAGCGUGGGGAGCGAACAGG
rnacentral:rRNA from 1 species